rnacentral:rRNA from 1 species
UACGUAGGGUGCGAGCGUUGUCCGGAAUUAUUGGGCGUAAAGAGCUCGUAGGCGGUGUGUCGCGUCGGUCGUGAAAACUUGGGGCUUAACUCUGAGCUUGCGGUCGAUACGGGCAUCACUGGAGUUCGGCAGGGGAGACUGGAAUUCCUGGUGUAGCGGUGAAAUGCGCAGAUAUCAGGAAGAACACCCGUGGCUAAGGCGGUUCUCUAGUACGGUACUGACGCUGAGACGCGAAAGCGUGGGGAGCGAACAGG